AAAAACAUGGCCUAAUGAUUAUAAUGUUAGGUCUAGCCUGCCCAAUGAAUAUUUAAAUGGCCGCGGUAUUUUGACCGUGCAAAGGUAGCAUAAUCAUUUGUUUUUUAAUUGAAAGCUGGAAUGAAAGGUUGAAUGAGGAAAUAACUGUCUCUAUUUAAUUAUUAGAAUUUUAUUUUUAAGUUAAAAAGCUUAAAUUUAAUUUGAAGACGAGAAGACCCUAUAGAGUUUAAUAAUUAAAUUAUUUAAUAAUUUUUGUAUUUAAUAAUAUUAAGUAUUUUAAUUAUUUAAUUGGGGUGAUUGAAAAAUUUAAUUAACUUUUUUUAUAUAUUUCCAUUAAUUAGUGAAAAAUUGAUCCUAUGAUUAGAUUAAAAGAUUAAAUUACCUUAGGGAUAACAGCGUAAUUUUUUUUUAGAGUUCUAAUCGAAAAAAUAGAUUGCGACCUCGAUGUUGGAUUAAAAUAAAAAUUUGGUGUAGAAGCUAAAUUAUUUGGUCUGUUCGACCAUUUAAAUUUUACUUGAUCUGAGUUCAAACCGGUGUAAGCCAGGUUGGUUUCUAUCUCUAAUUAGUUAAAAUAUUUUAGUACGAAAGGACCAAAUAUUUAAUUAAAAAUUUUUAUUUUGAAUUAUAUUGUUAUUUUGGCAGAUUAGUGCAAUAGAUUUAGAAUCUUUAUAUGUAAAUUUUACAAAUAACACUUGUUAUUAAAAGAUUUUACUUUAAUAAUAAUUUCUAGAUUAAUUUUGAUAUUAUGUGUUAUAAUUGGGGUUGCCUUUUUGACUUUAUUGGAGCGUAAAGUUUUAGGAUAUAUUCAAAUUC
rnacentral:rRNA from 1 species